rnacentral:rRNA from 1 species
AGGUGACCUGCGGAGGAUCAUUACCGAGUGAGGGCCCUCUGGGUCCAACCUCCCACCCAUGUUUAUUGUACCUUGUUGCUUCGGCGGGCCCGCCUCACGGCCGCCGGGGGGCUUCUGCCCUCUGGCCCGCGCCCGCCGAAGACACCAUUGAACACUGUCUGAAGAUUGCAGUCUGAGCAAUUAGCUAAAUAAGUUAAAACUUUCAACAACGGAUCUCUUGGUUCCGGCAUCGAUGAAGAACGCAGCGAAAUGCGAUACGUAAUGUGAAUUGCAGAAUUCAGUGAAUCAUCGAGUCUUUGAACGCACAUUGCGCCCCUUGGUAUUCCGGGGGGCAUGCCUGUCCGAGCGUCAUUGCUGCCCUCAAGCACGGCUUGUGUGUUGGGCCCCGUCCUCCUUCCCGGGGGACGGGCCCGAAAGGCAGCGGCGGCACCGCGUCCGGUCCUCGAGCGUAUGGGGCUUUGUCACCCGCUCUUGUAGGCCCGGCCGGCGCUUGCCGACAACCAUCAAUCUUUUUUCAGGUUGACCUCGGAUCAGGUAGGGAUACCCGCUGAACUUAAGCAUAUCAAUAAGCGGAGGAAAAGAAACCAACAGGGAUUGCCUCAGUAACGGCGAGUGAAGCGGCAAGAGCUCAAAUUUGAAAGCUGGCCCCCUCGGGGUCCGCAUUGUAAUUUGCAGAGGAUGCUUCGGGAGUGGCCCCCAUCUAAGUGCUCUGGAACGGGCCGUCAUAGAGGGUGA